CCAGAUGCUUGGACGAUACCGAGAAUAUAGUAACGGACAGGUGAGUGCUAUAGAACAACUAAAAGAAAGCUUGGAACAUUCAAUAGGUCAACUACGAAGUCAACGUUUAUUGAGAAACUCAGGAGGGAGAAGUUUCUCUGUUCUGAGUCUGAGUGCCAGUGAGUCCGAUGACAACGCUCUGACAGAGAGCCAUCACGUUCCACCUACCUCA